rnacentral:rRNA from 1 species
AUUACCGCGGCUGCUGGCACGAAGUUAGCCGGGGCUUCUUCUUCCGGUACCGUCAUUAUCGUCCCGAUCGAAAGGAGUUUACGUCCCAAGGGACUUCAUCCUCCACGCGGCGUUGCUGCGUCAGGGUUUCCCCCAUUGCGCAAAAUUCCCCACUGCUGCCUCCCGUAGG